rnacentral:lncRNA from 1 species
AGUAAUAGAUAGUUUCUGAAUACUGAGAAGUGAGUCUGUGGAAUAAAUCAAAAAUUGAUUUAUGAGUUAUUGAUUAUGUGAUUGGAGUUGAGUGAUUGAUUUAUAUGAAGAGUAUUGGAAGAUUAUGAUUGUUUUUUAUUGAAAGCUAUAUGUGUUUCGAUAGAAAAAGUCUCUGAUUAUAGAAAUUAUGUGAAUUCAGAUUGUUAGAGUAAAGUCUAUUAUUCCUAGUGUUGGAUGGAAAUUAUUGUGUUUUGAGAGGUAUUUUGAGAGUGCAGGAUUGCAUAUUGUUGUUUUCAGUUGAUGAAGGAGUAUUUUUACAGGGAAAAAGCAUUGUAGUAUUUCUUAGUAUUUUAGUGGUUUUGAAUAUAGUUAAUUGUGUGAUCCUAACAAGUAAAAGUCAUACACUUAGUCUUUUUCUGUGUUCGAAUUCUCCUAUACAGGUUUAUUUUGAAAGAAAUUGUAGAAUAAGUAAAACGACAACCAUAAUAAACAACCUCCAACUUAUUUCUUUAUCAAGUUUUUCAAUACUAACUUUACAAACUUCAAUAUCACAAUACUCCAUAACUUUCUAAUCUUGAGUUGUUACUAUUAAUGCACUAUCACUUAGACCAAAUAAAUCACUCAUAGCUAUAACAUCUUCAAUUUGAAUUUGGUUCUUUACAUUGUCAAAGACUAUGAUGACUAUUUUUUUGUUAAAAAUAACUUCAAUAAUUCUUUUGCUUCCUUUAAAUUGUU